rnacentral:lncRNA from 1 species
CUGAGGUUUGGAGUGUGUCUGUGAUGUUUAGAGAAAGGGUUCUUCUUUUGGUAAGUGUCAUGGAUAGUGCUGAAAUAGCGGCACCUGAACAUGACUUCUGGGCAUUACGGUUUGUGUCAGAAUUCGGUUUAGGAUUCGGGAUCUCACGUGGAUCAAGUACUUGGUUAUUGGAGUGUGAGUAGUAUUGUUAGAGUUAGCCUCAGUGUUAAGUAAGGGGUAGUGUUUUUUUUCCAUGUUUCUGGCCAUUGCAGUGUGGCUCUGAUGGGUAGUGUUGUGUUCCAGUUUUAGCUAGGGUUAGGGUUUGGGUUGGGGUGAUAGGUAGCAUUGAAAUUGAAAUGCCUGUGUCUUCAAGUGUGGGGUAGCAAGUCAUUAAUGUGUAAGUACAUGGUGAGGAUUUGGGAAAAUGUAGAAUUCAAGUACCUCGGUGUUGGAAUUUGGUCCUGCUCCUUAGGGUUAUGUUUAGGCCUAGGUUCCGCUUUCGGGUUCGAAGAUACGUUCCUGACGUUUGGAGUGUGUCUGUGAUGUUGAGGGAAAGGGUUCUUCUUUUGGUAAGUGUCAUGGAUAGUGCUGAACUAGAGGAACCUGAAAAUGACUUCUGGGCAUUACGGUUUGUGUCAGAAUUCGGUUUAGGGUUCGGGAUGGCCCGUGGAUCAAGUACCUGGUUAUUGGAGUGUGAGUAGUAUUGUUAGAGUUAGCCUCAGCGUUAAGUAAGGGGUAGUGUUUUUUUUCCGUGUUCCUGGACAUUGCAGUGUGGCUAUGAUGGGGAGUGUUGCGUUCAAGUUUUAGCUAGGGUUAGGGUUUGGGUUGGGGUGAUAGGUAGCAUUGAAAUUGAAAUGCCUGUGUCUUCAAGUGUGGGUUUGAAAGUGAGUACUAGCGUAAGUUCAUGGUGAGGGUUAGGUGUAAUGUAGAAUUUCAAGUCCCUGGGUAUUGGAAUGCGGUCCUGCUGCGUAGAUUUAGGGUUAGGAUUACUUUUAGGUUUAGGGUUCCAAUGCAUGUACCUGAGGUUUGGAGUGUGGGUAUGAGUUUUAGGUUUAGGGAUCUUCUGUUGGGAAAUGUCAGAUAGUGCAGAAGCCCAGGUCCCUGAAAAUCACUUCUGGACAAUACGGUUUGUGUCCGAAUUCAGCUUACAGUUAGGGAUGGUGCACGUGGAUCAAGUUCCUGGUUAUUGUAGUGUGAGUAAGAUUGUUCGUGUUAGGAUUAUUGUUAGGUAAGAUAUAGUGUAAUUUUACAUGUUCCUGGACUUUGCAGUGUGUCUCUGAUGGGUAGUUGUAGGGUUAGCGAUGUAGCUAGGGUUAGGCUUAGGUUUGGGGUCCUGAACAGCGUUGCCAUUGAAAUGCCUGUGUCUUCCAG